rnacentral:rRNA from 1 species
GAUGAACGCUGGCGGCGUGCCUAAUACAUGCAAGUCGAGCGAACAGAUAAGGAGCUUGCUCCUUUGACGUUAGCGGCGGACGGGUGAGUAACACGUGGGUAACCUACCUAUAAGACUGGGAUAACUUCGGGAAACCGGAGCUAUACCGGAUAACAUUUGGAACCGCAUGGUUCUAGAGUGAAAGAUGGUUUUGCUAUCACUUAUAGAUGGACCCGCGCCGUAUUAGCUAGUUGGUAAGGUAACGGCUUACCAAGGCGACGAUACGUAGCCGACCUGAGAGGGUGAUCGGCCACACUGGAGCUGAGACACGGUCCAGACUCCUACGGGAGGCAGCAGUAGGGAAUCUUCCGCAAUGGGCGAAAGCCUGACGGAGCAACGCCGCGUGAGUGAUGAAGGGUUUCGGCUCGUAAAACUCUGUUAUUAGGGAAGAACAAAUGUGUAAGUAACUGUGCACGUCUUGACGGUACCUAAGCAGAAAGCCACGGCUAACUACGU